UGUUGUAUUCAGCAUUUCACUGUAAGGUCUACUACACCUGUUGUAUUCAGCAUUUCACUGUAAGGUCUACUACACCUGUUGUAUUCAGCAUUUCACUGUUAGGUCUACUACACCUGUUGUAUUCAGCAUUUCACUGUAAGGUCUACUACACCUGUUGUAUUCAGCAUUUCACUGUAAGGUCUACUACACCUGUUGUAUUCAGCAUUUCACUGUAAGGUCUACUACACCUGUUGUAUUCAGCAUUUCACUGUGAGGUCUACUACACCUGUUGUAUUCAGCAUUUCACUGUGAGGUCUACUACACCUGUUGUAUUCAGCAUUUCACUGUGAGGUCUACUACACCUGUUGUAUUCAGCAUUUCACUGUGAAGUCUACUACACCUGUUGUAUUCAGCAUUUCACUGUGAGGUCUACUACACCUGUUGUAUUCAGCAUUUCACUGUAAGGUCUACAACACCUGUUGUAUUCAGCAUUUCACUGUAAGGUCUACUACACCUGUUGUAUUCAGCAUUUCAC